rnacentral:rRNA from 1 species
UACGGAGGAUGCAAGCGUUAUCCGGAAUAAUUGGGCGUAAAGCGUCCGUAGGUGGCUGUUCAAGUCUGCCGUUAAAGACCGGGGCUUAACCCUGGAAAGGCGGUGGAAACUGAGCGGCUAGAGUGCAGUAGGGGUAGAGGGAAUUCCCAGUGUAGCGGUGAAAUGCGUAGAGAUUGGGAAGAACACCGGUGGCGAAAGCGCUCUGCUGGACUGCAACUGACACUGAGGGACGAAAGCUAGGGGAGCGAAUGGG